rnacentral:lncRNA from 1 species
GCAUCAAACAGUGGUCAAGGAAGUCUCUGUACUGCAAAUCACUGGAGAGUGAGGGGAAGAUUUUAGUUUAAGCUUUCUGCCUUUCUUCUCAAAAUGGUAAUUUUUGGAAGCAAGACUGAUUUGGAGGAUGGAGCUAAAUUCCAUCAUGAACAAGGAGCAGUUCAGGAACUACCUUGAAAGUUAUUGUGCAGUCUGGGAUGAAGACAUGAGCCAGUGGCUGUGAGAAGAGGAGAAGAAACAGAGAGAUGCAAGGUACUUGGAGGAAGAUCUCUUCUCUAUAGGGUACUGGGAGGAGGAUCUGCUCUAUACGCGCAACCAGGUGCAAUGUGGGAACAGCUUGCAGCAGAAUGCGGAAAGUGAAAGAGCCCACAGACAAACCAAGCAGGACUGUUCACCCACUCACCAAAAGGACUGGCUGAAUUGCAUAAGAAAAACACCCUGUUAUUCUCCUUGCCAGCAGCUGCAAUGUGAUUCUAAGAGGAAAAG